GUAGUUGUGGCCAAAUGGUUAAGGCAAUGGACUAGAAAUCCAUUGGGGUCUCCCCGUGCAGGUUUGAAUCCUGCUGACUAUG